AGGGGAGCGACCGUGGCGGCCGAGCCUGAGGGGAGCGACCAUGGCGGCCGGGCCUGAGGGGACACCACGGUGUAAAUCACCCUCAGCUGCCGCAGCCAGACCUGCACCCACAGCCCAUGGAGAUCACCCCACAUGAGCACAGCUGCCCACUCCUCUGCCCCUCUACAAGCACCCUGGGUUUCAGGCUGUGUGCUGCUACAGAGCAAAGCACGCCAUCUCCCACAGCUGCCUCUGAACUGCCACAAAAAGCAGAUGAGCUGUGAGGGACGACACUCCCCUUCAGGAUAAGAAAAUAAUCAGUAAAGAGAAUAUGUAGAGAAGCAUAAUGCAGUUUCAUCUGUUCCAGAUCCAAGAUUCUUUCCUGAAGUCCAGGGGAAAGUGCAUCCUUGUGACUGAAAUCCAAGGCUCAGGAGUUCGUGUCCUCACUGAAGCCCCACAGCAGAACUGUACUUCAGGAAAGCAAGUCCUGGGCAUACCAGGUGUUUGCAGCAUUGAAGAGCUCCAGCCCAGCACACGCCAGAGACAGCCCAGAGCUGGAGGGGAGGUUUGAGAUGGUUCUGAAAUUGGACAUACAAAGUGUCCACGGAUUCGUCUUCCUCUUCUCUCGUUUGACAGAAAGCACAGGCCCGACUCCGAGUCUUUACACAUCUCCUGUAAGUUACUGCAUGAACAUUUACAUUUUCACAUUCAGAUCUUACACAAAAGUAUAUAUUGAACCCUGUAACCCUUCCAAAGUGAUGUUUAAUAUGACUAUUAUUUGUGGGCUUGUUAUCAGGUUUGGGCACUGCUACACAAGUGUCUCAGUGAUUUCACACUGUGACCUGGCUUUGUAGGAUGGGUUAUUACUAUGUUUACAUUUCUUUCUUCUCUUAUAUUAUAGAGUUGAUUUUACUUUUCUUAUGAUGGCAAUUUUGUUGUAAGGUUUUACUUCUCUUUUACUGUGUAUGAAAUGGAACACUGAGGUGCAACCAAAAUUACCCUUGUAAUUGCAGCACAGUGAAUAAGUAUGUGCAAGAGAAUAAUCUUGUAAAAGCUGAUUACCUUGGUUAUUAAUAAUUAGGAUUUGUGAGUUAAGUAAUAUGGAGCAGCUAUAUCCAAUUCCUUGGCAAUUUCAUGUAGACAGCUGAGAGAUAAUUUUAGAAAUAAUCCAGUGUGAAAUCCCAAUUGACAACUGAACCAGCAUUUUAAGGUCUGCCUGUGGCUUCUCCCUGUGCUUUGGCUGUUUAAAGCUGGAGUGGCAAUUUGCAGUUUUCUCUCAUGUGUGGGACAUAAAAAUUUGCCCAUUUUAAUUUCUUUGUGCUUUGCUUAAUUUGAUUCUUAGAAAGAUUUUUGUUUUCCCUGGGAUCUCCUGGGAGAAGAAUUAAUAUAUCUGAGGUUUGUAUGCAUGUACAUGGGGUUGGCUGUUCCUUAUGUUUCCUUCUGUAUUUUUGUCUGAUGGUUUAUUACCUACUAAACAGGCUUAGUGUAAAUAAUAUUUUUAUACCUUUGAAAAUAUCACAGAGCACUUCUAAUCUACUCUAUUCUUUUCUGAUUUGGUGAUACACGAACUCUUGCAAGUCUGGAGAGAACAGUUACAAAUCUAAUGGUUUUUUGGCCCUUCUGCAAGUUUAUCCAGGAGCCUAAGUGGGUGCCCAUCCAUAAAAAACCAAGUAAUUUUGUUGAGCACUCCCCAAAACUCUCUCCUCCACCCCCAGGAGUCCUCCAGUCCUGCACCUGCCAGGCACUUAGCAUACAUCAUCACUGGUGAGUCCAAGCUCUAAUCAAAGCUUUUGGGAUUGCUCUUUCAGUUCAAGUCUCAGCAGAAAUCAAGUCUGCAUCUCACAGUUGAUGAAAGGAGGGCCCUGCCAGUCAGGGGUGAGGUAACUUGCUCAGCCUAACAAAGCCUUCCCUGGUCCCCCUGCAGAGUGUUUCCUGAGGGCCACUCACAUGGAAAUGACCUGAAUGGUUCCCCCCAGCUCCAGCAGCAGAGCUCUGCGGGAAGGGCAGGACUAACACAGCAGGUAUGAGCUGUGUCCUUGGGUGCCUCCUGGCCCAGCUCCAGAGCUCUGCACUGCAGAGUCCCAGGCUGUGGAGGCAGAGCUUGGGCUCCAGGGUCUCCAAAUAUUCCAGGUGUUACUGUUCUGCCAGUCCAGAGUGGAUGUGUUAAUCACAUGGGAACAGAAUCAGGCCUAGGUUUUGUCUUUCAUGCACUUGAGGGAAGCCUGAAAAGCAGUUUAGCUUUGUGAUGUAAUACCAGGGAAGUAUUUAAAAUUUUAUUUUACAUUCAUGUCCAAUGUGACAUUUAAUAGUGGAGCUAAAUAAUUAUUCAUGCUAAAUGCUCCACAUGCUCUGACAAGAUGUUUUUUAAAACAUAGGGAUCAUUAUUUUUUUCCAAUGGAAGCAGAGCAGAUUUUUAACUGCAGAGGAGCAGGCAGUGAAGCAAGGGCAUGUUGUAAUUAUUACUGAAUGUAAUAGAACAGAAAAUCAUCCAUGUCACUUCUGUCAGGGACUCUGCUGAGGCUGUGCCUUGUGGAGCACAGGGACCCCUGGCCGGGCUGCCAGAGCACGUGUGCCAUGAUGGAAGAAGACAAGGCCUGUGCAGCCGCCAGCACAGGAACAUGAGCAUGCCUUUAUUUUGCUUUUUAAAACUUACUCUGUUCUCCUCAGAUGUAUGGUGAAGUUACCAAAGUCACAGUUAAGUUUCACCAUUUUUACAGACACAGUGUUUCCGACUGACGUGUCAGAAUUCCCAGCAGAUUCAUGGUUUACGUCCUAUUUUUUUACCACAAAGCUGCUCCUUUCCCAGCUUUCUCCCAGCACUCCAGCCCGAGCCAGGCAGGUGCAACGUGUUCCCUAAUGAACGAGCAGGUGGGGGGCACAGGGGCCCCGCGAGCCUCUGCCUGGGCGGGCACAGUGAGGUGGGACACAGGGAUGGCACCACUGCACAGCCCAGGUGGGACACAGGGAUGGCAUCGCCGCACGCGACUGCCGUCGUGGCCACGUGUCAAGGGGAAAUUCCAACCUUUUUCCCAUGUGGUGGGUAUGGUGGGUCCUGCAGCGAGAAGCCCGGGGCUGGGGCAGCGCUGUGCCGCCAACCCGCCCUGCCCGCGGCGCUGCCGUAACCCUGCGGUGAGUCAGCCCAGCUGCCGGCACCGCGCUCACCCCGCGCCCUCGGGGCGGCACCGCCGGGACCCCGCUCCUCCCGCCACUUGCGGGCAGGGGAGAGCCCCGGGACCCCGCUCCUCCCGCCACCUGCGGGCAGGGGAGG